rnacentral:rRNA from 1 species
UACGAAGGGUGCAAGCGUUACUCGGAAUUACUGGGCGUAAAGCGUGCGCAGGCGGUUCGUUAAGUUCGUCGUGAAAGCCCCGGGCUCAACCUGGGAACUGCGAUGGAAACUGGCGGGCUUGAGUAUGGCAGAGGGGGGUGGAAUUCCGCGUGUAGCAGUGAAAUGCGUAGAGAUGCGGAGGAACACCGAUGGCGAAGGCAGCCCCCUGGGCCAAUACUGACGCUCAGGCACGAAAGCGUGGGGAGCAAACAGG